rnacentral:rRNA from 1 species
UACGUAGGUGGCAAGCGUUGUCCGGAUUUACUGGGCGUAAAGAGCGCGCAGGCGGUCGGAUCAGUCGAAUGUGAAAGCCCCCGGCUCAACUGGGGAGGGUCAUUCGAUACUGUCCGACUCGAAGGCAGGAGAGGGAAGCGGAAUUCCCGGUGUAGUGGUGAAAUGCGUAGAUAUCGGGAGGAACACCAGUGGCGAAGGCGGCUUUCUGGCCUGUGCUUGACGCUGAGGCGCGAAAGCUAGGGGAGCGAACGGG